rnacentral:rRNA from 1 species
AUGAACGCUAGCUACAGGCUUAACACAUGCAAGUCGAGGGGCAGCAUGGUCUUAGCUUGCUAAGGCCGAUGGCGACCGGCGCACGGGUGAGUAACACGUAUCCAACCUGCCGUCUACUCUUGGACAGCCUUCUGAAAGGAAGAUUAAUACAAGAUGGCAUCAUGAGUCCACAUGUUCACAUGAUUAAAGGUAUUCCGGUAGACGAUGGGGAUGCGUUCCAUUAGAUAGUAGGCGGGGUAACGGCCCACCUAGUCUUCGAUGGAUAGGGGUUCUGAGAGGAAGGUCCCCCACAUUGGAACUGAGACACGGUCCAAACUCCUACGGGAGGCAGCAGUGAGGAAUAUUGGUCAAUGGGCGAGAGCCUGAACCAGCCAAGUAGCGUGAAGGAUGACUGCCCUAUGGGUUGUAAACUUCUUUUAUAAAGGAAUAAAGUCGGGUAUGCAUACCCGUUUGCAUGUACUUUAUGAAUAAGGAUCGGCUAACUCCGUGCCAGCAGCCGCGGUAAUACGGAGGAUCCGAGCGUUAUCCGGAUUUAUUGGGUUUAAAGGGAGCGUAGAUGGAUGUUUAAGUCAGUUGUGAAAGUUUGCGGCUCAACCGUAAAAUUGCAGUUGAUACUGGAUAUCUUGAGUGCAGUUGAGGCAGGCGGAAUUCGUGGUGUAGCGGUGAAAUGCUUAGAUAUCACGAAGAACUCCGAUUGCGAAGGCAGCCUGCUAAGCUGCAACUGACAUUGAGGCUCGAAAGUGUGGGUAUCAAACAGGAUUAGAUACCCUGGUAGUCCACACGGUAAACGAUGUAUACUCGCUGUUUGCGAUAUACAGCAAGCGGCCAAGCGAAAGCGUUAAGUAUUCCACCUGGGGAGUACGCCGGCAACGGUGAAACUCAAAGGAAUUGACGGGGGCCCGCACAAGCGGAGGAACAUGUGGUUUAAUUCGAUGAUACGCGAGGAACCUUACCCGGGCUUAAAUUGCAGAUGAAUUACGGUGAAAGCCGUAAGCCGCAAGGCAUCUGUGAAGGUGCUGCAUGGUUGUCGUCAGCUCGUGCCGUGAGGUGUCGGCUUAAGUGCCAUAACGAGCGCAACCCUUGUUGUCAGUUACUAACAGGUUCUGCUGAGGACUCUGACAAGACUGCCAUCGUAAGAUGUGAGGAAGGUGGGGAUGACGUCAAAUCAGCACGGCCCUUACGUCCGGGGCUACACACGUGUUACAAUGGGGGGUACAGAGGGCCGCUACCACGCGAGUGGAUGCCAAUCCCAAAAACCUCUCUCAGUUCGGACUGGAGUCUGCAACCCGACUCCACGAAGCUGGAUUCGCUAGUAAUCGCGCAUCAGCCACGGCGCGGUGAAUACGUUCCCGGGCCUUGUACACACCGCCCGUCAAGCCAUGGGAGCCGGGGGUACCUGAAGUGCGUAACCGCGAGGAGCGCCCUAGGGUAAAACUGGUGACUGGGGCU